GCCUUGGCCUCCCAGAGGGCUAGGAUUACAGGCGUGAGCCACUGCGCCCGGCCUAGCUCAGCCUUCUUACGUACGACAGACCAAGAGAGCUUCCAUUUUAAGACGGGAAAGAGAAGCCCAGAAACGGGUGGAUUUAACUCAGGUCACACAGAGGCCUUCACGUGGGACUGUGCACGCAGAAAGAGUCACUUCCGUGUCAGUGGCGGAGACCCAGGAAAACGUCACAGAGGAAGUAGCAUUGGAAUUAGCCAUUGGGGCAUAAGGAAAACUUUAACAUGACGGAUACAAGGAUAAGCCCUGUCAGGAGGAGGAUGAGUGUGGACAACAGUCUGGAGAAUUCCCCACAGACAUAACCAAGCUGAACACCUGUGGAUAUAUGCCAAGUGCGAUGCAAACCACUCUGCGCUGGGGAGGAAGGAGGAGACCAAUGUCAGGUCAGACCCAUGGCUAGAGACUCCGGCUUGUUGCAGAGAAGCUCUUCCCGACGGUGGGACAGGCCUCGACCCACCGAGCUCUUGAUCACUGGAGGUGCACAACCAAAAGUGAUUCCAACGUGCAUCCAAGAUCGAGAAUCUCUAGAUUGAUGGACGGUGAUGGAAUGAAAAACCAGGAAAGGAAAACGGGUGAGGCUGAAUGAUUUGGACAGGUCUUCACACCAAAAUACAGCUGUUAGCAGUCAGGACAGCAGUUCCUUUGGGGAGAUGGUGACCAGAGGGGGUACAAGGGAACCUUCUAGGAUGCUGCAAAUGUUCUACAUUUUGAUCUGGGGGAUCAAGAACCUUGUCCUGAGACCUCCUAACCCUAUCCCAGGACACUGGGUGUGUAUCUUCUUGCUUUGGCCCCAAA